CCGCGGCCGCCAUGCCCACCUCCUGCCGCGGCCGCCGCCCCCACCUCCCACCGCGGCCGUCGCCCAGCAAGCUAACCAGCCGACCGGCUGCGGAUAUCAAGCAUGCCACCAGCCCCGGAUCCCCCGCACGCCAAUGACCCCUUCCCCACGAGUUCCAGCGCCGACCAUCCCGGCCCUGCUCGUGAUCCCCUCCUCCAUCAGCUACACUUCGCCGCAGCCGUCAGUCCGUAGGAGUAAGGGGUAGCAGGUCCACUUCCUCUACUCGUCGGUGCCCACGAGGCCGCUGUACUCUUGCUCGAGCUUCUCUGCCAUCAGUGGCCGCUCCGCCCACUGGUCAGGUGGGGAGUUCGAUCAUUUGCUGCUCAAAAUCCGACAACAAUCGGAGGAGGAAUGUGCAACAAGCAAGUCUAUCAUCAAUGGCAAGCAAUGGCAUGCUCCCAGCCUGCCGAGACUGAAUCAUUCGACACCAGUUCUCUGCACAGCGUGGCUCGACGUGCAGCCCGCCGGCUCCGUCAUGUACAUCUAGACAAGACGCUAUGGUGUAAAAUUUAAUGCAUGAAAGAUUUCGGUAGAGUGGAGACCUGGAAAAGGACUUUUAGGCGUUAUUGGCCAUGACAAUAAAUGACCAGGAAGAACACUUUCAAUAGUCCAGGAAGACGACAACAACAACGAGAAAAAUGCAAUGAUGCACCAUGCUGACAUUGGCGAAAAGCUAUGAUUUUGUACUCCUGUUUGUUGUUAUGUCAAUGAGAAACCAAUACUUCUUUUCUUCAGGUUUUGUGUUUUAAUCUGUGAGGGAUAAACAAAUUUUCCUAUUCAAGUGGAAGCUCCUAGUAUAUGAUGGAUGUGGGAGUUAUUUUCACAUGCAUUGUUCAGUUCUUCUCUUUGUGUAAUGUUUUAUGUUUUCAAGUGCUCGAUGAAAAAUUAUAUACCUAGUAGUUCA